GUCACGGUCGAGGGUGAGUGAAGUGUGGAGCUGUGGGGCGAUUGUGCUAGAACUCUGAAGAAAACCUGACAUUUUGUGAGGUGCCCUGUGUCAAUAGUUCGAGGUGCAAGUGCGUUGUGUGCUGUGAUACGGAGGGGACGCUGCAAAUGACCUUGGAGCGACCGAGACUGACAUCUCUGGCAGAAGUUUACAAGCCUCCGUCCGUACCAGACGUAAUGGAAACUCACCAUUUUAAGUUUCCUGGUGCGUCACUGCAGCAUCUGCAAAUAAGGGAGAGCGUCUACAAAGGAACAACGCACAGCAACUCGCGAGAAUAAGGACUUCUAUGCAGAUGGACGAAGUACCACCGUGCGCCUCUACAUCUCCGCUGCAGGGCACCCCAGUGGCCCGUGUCAUUUCGUUAACCGGUGACAAAUGGAGGGACGCGAAUGGCUGAAGUGGGAAGGUCGUAGAAUGAUGCAAACAAACGUUGUGGUUGGAAUAUAUU